UACGUAGGGGGCGAGCGUUGUCCGGAUUUAUUGGGCGUAAAGAGCUCGUAGGUGGUUCGGUAAGUCGGGUGUGAAAACUCUGGGCUCAACUCAGAGACGCCACCCGAUACUGCUGUGACUCGAGUCUGGUAGGGGAGUGUGGAAUUCCCAGUGUAGCGGUGAAAUGCGUAGAUAUCUGGAGGAACACCGGUGGCGAAGGCGGCAUCCUGGACCGACACUGACACUGAGGAGCGAAAGCCAGGGGAGCAAACGGG
rnacentral:rRNA from 1 species